CCUAAGUUGUAUACACAACUUUCCACCUUGUAUCGGUUGAUUCGAGAAGGCCCCAAGAAGAAUUCUUCACAGUUUCUGGGUUUUAGAAUAAUCAAUUGACCCCUGAAAUAUUCGAUUGAAGGAGUGUAUCGAUCAAGCACUCAUGAAACGUUUUCGUUUUCUGAGAAAAUUAUCAAAUUCCAAUGAAAAACCCUUCACUGCUGUAUUAGCUUUGGCUGCUGCUGGAUUUUUUUCUAGCAAUGAAAUCACCAGUUCAAGAACAUCAAUUUUGGUUUCGCUACCAGAUCCCUUAAAAGAUUCUUUGAAAGACAGACUUGUUCGUCCUGCUUUUCUUCCGGCCGACCAAUCUCAACUGUAUAUUUUCCCAUCGUCUUUUGCUAGAAUUGGUUUGGACUCACCUGGGAAUGCGAAGAAAGAAGGUUCUGGGGAAGAUGACGAUGGUGAGAAACGUAAUUGUUGUAAUUGUUUCGGACGAGAUACUAUUGCCAAUGCGGCUGCCACUGUUGGUCCUGCGGUUGUUAAUAUCUCAGUAUCAAGGGGCUUUCACGGAUUGAGCGCUGGAAGGAGUAUAGGAUCAGGAACUAUAAUAGAUGCUGAUGGCACUAUUUUGACUUGUGCCCAUGUGGUUGAUUUUCAAGGCUUGAGUAUUUCAUCAAAAGGAAAGGUUGAUGUGACUAUGCAAGAUGGCCGUGUAUUUGAGGGUACCGUGGUCAAUGCGGAUUUGCAUUCUGAUAUUGCAAUUGUUAAGAUAAAAUCUAGAACUCCACUUCCAACUGCAAAACUUGGCACUUCAAACAAGCUUCGCCCUGGGGAUUGGGUGGUGGCUAUGGGUUGCCCCCUUUCCCUCCAAAAUACAAUUACAGCAGGCAUUGUGAGCUGCGUCGAUCGUAAAAGUAGUGAUCUUGGACUUGGAGGCAUGCGGCGAGAGUAUCUGCAGACUGAUUGUGCUAUUAAUGCUGGAAAUUCUGGAGGACCUCUGGUAAAUGUCGAUGGAGAAGUAGUCGGAGUUAAUAUCAUGAAAGUACUGGCAGCUGAUGGUUUGGGCUUUGCCGUACCAAUUGAUUCUGUUACCAAGAUUAUAGACCACUUCAAGAAUAGGGGGAGAGUUAUUCGACCUUGGUUGGGUUUGAAAAUGCUCGAUCUAAAUGAUAUGGUUGUUGCACAGCUUCAGGAAAGAGAUCCAUCUUUCCCAAAAGUCAACAAGGGAGUUCUUGUAUCAAUGGUGACUCCAGGGUCCCCUGCUGAUCGAGCUGGAUUUCACCCUAGUGACGUGGUUGUUGAAUUUGAUGGAAAUCCUGUUGGGACUAUAAAGGAGAUAAUUGAUAUAAUGGGUGACAACAUUGGGAAACAAUUGAAUGCAGUGGUGAAAAGAGCCAAUGAUGUUACUGCUACGUUGAGUGUAAUUCCAGAAGAAGCUAAUCCUGAUAUGUGAAAUAUCCGACCACUUUCCCUCAUUGACCUGCCACCAGGUGCAGUCAUGGUUGCUCCAAUGAUUAAUCCAUAUGAACCAAGAAUGACCAAGGCGGAGAAGAAUAAAAUGUGCAAGACAUGGACAACAAAGACGAAAACCAUGUAUAUAUUAUUUAGGAAGUCUCCAAGACUACUUCCUUACUUUUACUGUAGAAGCUUCCUUAAUGGAGUCCAUGGCCCGAUCAAAACACGGCUUGCCUUAUCACUUGGAAUAAGAGAUAAAGCUUUGCUGGAGCACUUAUCGUUUGAAGAGUUCUGGCAAAGAGAUUAAUAAGAAGUUGUUGGACAAAAGGAUGCAAAACCAUUCGUGGAGGAAGCUGUCUUACAGGUUUCAAAUUAGGGUUUUAGCCCGGCAGAGCUCAAAGUACAGACAAAACACCCUAGAAAGUGUAUUGGGCAUUGGAUUAAAUCACUGUAUGGUCAAACAGAAGAAAUCUUGACUGGAUUCCUCGGUCAAAUUCACAUAUGGCAGGUUGGUUCAUAUCUUCUUUACCUAUUUUCGUUUGCCUUAUUCAAGAUAAUUUCUCAUGGUUUAUCAACAUAUUACGCCAACUUGUGUAAAGUAACUAAAAUUUUAGAUUUUAUCUGGGGAUGGAAGAUAUGGUGGUACCGCCAUCCACAACUGAUUUUUUACAGCGAGUCCUACCAGAUGCAAUGGUACAUAGGCUCCUGUACGAGGCAAAUAUUUUGACGGGUAGAAGGGUUUUUGGUGCUCAAAAGAAGCAGACACCUGAAUCCAAAAAGAAAGUGACAUCAAACAAUUACUACGGGACAGUGAUAGUGAAGGUGAGACAGAUGCCAGAGAAAUUGGCAUCGGGUCUCGUAAAGAAAAUAAUUUUUCUGGGAGGGAAGUUUAUUUUGAUCCCAAUUCACUUCGUGAAGAGUCUGAAAUUGCUCAUGAUUCUCUGUUUAAUAGUUUUGACGACGUUGUCAGAGACCCAUCCUCAAAGACAUCAUAAGAAGUUUCCAUCUUUGCAGAUGACUCGUGGAAAAAGAUUUGUGUUGUCUCGAAAUUAUUUUUCUUACUUUUUAUAGAAAAAUUGCUUUUAUUCGUAUAUUUGGUGAACAGAUGAAUGAUUCAUCAGCUAAAGAAAAGCAAACAAAAUCUGCAAAUGCAAAGAGUGCAAUUUCCUUACAUGUCACAGAGCCUGUUGUGAGUAAACCUGAUGCGGAGGAAAUUGAUGAGAAUAGCGAUACACAUAGUGGAGGAGAAAUGGUUGAUGGGAUUUUAACUUCAGGGACCAAGUCCACAUAUGAAAUCCCAUCUCAAGAAGAACUUAGUCGGCGUGCUCUUGCUGAUGAUGACGUUGAAGAUGAAUUUAGGAGAUAAAAACAAGAUGGUUUGAAUGAGGAAGUUCCAGAGCCCAACAAGCCCGUUUUACUGCUUGGUUGGGGCCAGUGGACCAGUAUACAAAAGAAGAGAGGUCCGCCGCCUUGGAUGCUUCAAAAACAUGAUAACGCCAAAAAGAAAAGGGAAGAAGCUCUCAAGAAGAGAAAAGAUGCAAAGCCGAAUCAUGUUAGCAUCUCCGAAAAGCGGGAUUAGAAGGUUCCUUCUUCCAGCAUCACUUAUAGUGAUGAAUGAUGUAGCACCUUAUUUUUUUGGUUUUUCCUUUGGGUGAUAAUUUCUUAACAAUUGUUUGAGAUCGAAGUACAACCCACUGGAUGAGCCUAGUCCAUUACGUGAAGAGCCCUAUUUCGAGUGAUUUUUCGUUUUUCAUUGGAACUCAACAAUCAGGGGAAGAAAAAAGGGAACUCCGGAACUAUUGAAAAGCUCAAAUCCUCGAACUUUUCUACCACAGUUAUGAGAAUCGGGAGCUGGGAGGUAAUAUUGAUGUUUUAGUAUCGAUUGUAAUUUGUAAUCAACAAAUUGCAAUUUAGAAAAGCUACAACCGAUGGAAAUUUGUGUUGUUUUUUUGUGAGUUUUGUAUGUUUAUGGAAAUUGAGCUGAAUCAGGAAGUGAAUUUUUUUCACAA